CUGGGAUUACAGGCAUGCACCACCACACCUGGCUAAUUCUGUAUUUUUAGUAGAGACAGGGUUUCUCCAUGUUGAGGCUGGUCUCGAACUCCUGACCUCAGGUGAUCUGCCCGCCUUGGCCUCCCAAAGUGCUGGGAUUACAGGCGUGAACCACCGGGCCCAGCCCCCAUUCUUAUUUUUUUAGAGACAAGGUCUUGCUAUGUUGUCCAGGCUGGAGUGCAAUGGCGUGAUCACGGCUCACUGUAAUCUUGACCUCCUGGGCUCAACUGAUCCUCCUGCCACAGCCUCCCAAUUAGCUGGGACUCCAGGCACAUGCCACCAUGACUGUCUUAUUUUUUAAUUUUUUUUUGUAGAGACGGGGGUCUCACUAUGUUGCCCAGGCUGGUCUUGAACUCCUGGCUUCAAGUGAUCCUCCCACCUCAGCCUCCCAAAGAUUACAGGUGUGAGCCACUGUGCCUGGCUCCUACCAAUUAUUUUAGGAAAAAAAAAAAAAUCGGCUGGGCGCGUUGGCUCACGCCUGUAAUCUCAGCACUUUGGGAGGCUGAGGCAGGUGGAUCAUGAAGUCAGGAGUUCAAGACCACCCUGGCUAAUGUGGUGAAACCACGUGUUUAUUAAAAAUAUAAAAAUUAGCCAGGCGUGGUGGCGCACGCCUGUAGUCCCAGCUACUUGGGAGGCUGAGACAGGAGAAUCACUUGAACCCAGGAGACGGAGGUUGCAGUGAGCUGAGAUCGAGUACGACAGAGUGAGACUCCGUCUCAAAAAAAAAAAAAAAAAAAUCAAGAAGCUGUGACCCAGGCCCCCUGGCCUGGCAGUCUCAGGCCUCCGUGACACAGCCACCUUCACAUGCUGGCUGCGCUGGCUGUUCACAGUCACUGAACACUGCAGGCCUGGGUCCCUGCUUUGUUUACUGUCCCCGCCACCC
rnacentral:lncRNA from 1 species